GACGAACGCUGGCGGCGUGCUUAACACAUGCAAGUCGAACGGAAAGGCCCUGCUGUAGCUUGCUGCUCGAUUGGCGAACGGGUGCGUAACACGUGGUUACGCUGCCCUUACCUGUGGGAUAACUUCAGGAAACUGGGGCUAAUACCGGCUAGUAGCUCAUGCUAUUUAUUGUUGCUUGGUAAUUUUCGGCGGGUGGGAAUGGACUCGCGGCUAAGCAGCUCUUUGGUGGGGUAGUUGCUAGCAAAGGUAUUGGCGGGUAGCCGGCCUGAGAGGGUGACGGGCCACAUUGGGACUGAGAUAGCGGCAAGAGGCCUACGGGAGGCAGGGGUGGGAGAUAGAGCACAAUGGGCGGAAGCCUGAUACAGCAACGUCGCGUGGGGGAUGACGGCCGUCGGGUUGGAAACCGUUUGCGACUGGGACGAAGAGUGAGUGACGGUAAUGGGUAAAGAAGCAACGGCUAACUACGUG
rnacentral:rRNA from 1 species